CCCUAAAAAGUUCUUUAGACA
rnacentral:tRNA from 1 species